GUAGUGUGUUUAUGCUCUGUCCCAUGUUGCAGCAUCCCGUCUCCCCUGCUUCUGUGGAUUACCUUGUUUUUUGGACUCUGUUAAUCAGUUGCUCUGCCAAUUCAGUACACCCUCCCCAGCCAGCAGGCAAUUCUUCCUGAUUUUGACAGUGAUGCUACGAAGGCAGAGUAAAGAUUAAUGUCUGACUCUUUCCAGCAUGUUGCACCCAUAUAUAAAGGACUUUCCUUUUCAGCUGAUUAACUCUCUGUUCAGCCAUCCAAAGGAGGCAGGGGUGUGGGACGAACAAAGAUAAAUAACCGGGUGGAAAAACCAGGGAGGACUCAAAACACACAUCAAGUUAGUGUGUAUUUAUUCUUAAUCAAAAAUAAUGGUGGUUAAUCAAUGAAAAGCUAUCAUGCCCACACAAGAGAUGAUGCGACUUUUAUAUAAAGUAAAUAACAUGGGAUGCAACACAAUAGGCCACACAGUCUCCACGGCUCCCACCGCACUGGGGAAGCACACAUGGAGGUCACCCGCCGCUCACCACACCGGCUUCCACUGAUCGGGAAUGCCGAGCGGACGACCGCGUCCACGGAGUCACCGACCUCACGGCGCAAGAAGGAGUUGCGAACCACCUGUUGCACUCUAAAACUGAAAACAAUACUUAUUUUCUGCAGAAGCCGUCCAGUUCACCUGCUGUGGCGUCAGCGGGGAGUCGUAGACUGCUGGACGGUCUGGUCUGCAGGCAGGAGUUGCAGUGGAUGUCAUCAGCACAGACCCCUCUGCUUCCAUCAGGAGAAUCAUGAGAAAGUCUUAUCCUGACAUCAAAGAUCACUUUGACCCCUGACAACAGUUCACCCUUUUUUUGGACGAUGAAAACAUAUUCAAGGAGAAAUCCAUCAAAGAAGAAGCAGAAAUUAUCCACCAACAGCAUUUAGUGCUGUACCAGCAAGUUUCCCUCCAGUUCUUGCCCUGGAGCCACCAUCAGAGAAAUCCUCCAGAAGGAAGUGUGGUUCUCCCCGUCAUUGUUCCACUCUACUACCCAACUCCUUGCCAUUACUCACUGCUGCGGAGGUCCCACUGCCCAGCGCCACAGAGGCGUAGCUGACCGGCUCCACAGAGAAUCUGCUAACCAGCUACCCAGAGACUUUGUUGGUCAUUGUUGCAGAGACUUUGCUUUCCAGGUCCCCAGAGAGUUCAGCCAAUCUCCAGUCGAGCUGCCCUGUCACAGACCUCCAGAAGGGUCCUGCCUUUGCCGCCAGCCUCCAGAGGGUUUCCACGUCUGCCUGGUUCGUUUUGGACUUCUUGGGACUUUUGGCCUGUCGGACUGUACUCUUUUUGAUGACUUAGAACGCCGGGAGCCAUUCAUUAACAGGGGGUAGUGUCAUGGUUUUGGGUUGUGCAUUAUUUCCUUUUUAUUUUGCUGAAUUCUUCCUACUGUCAAAUGUUUAAAGUACAAUGUGCUUUAGUGCCUCAAUCAGUCUCUAUGGAAUGAUAUUGCUAUGCAAAAGUUUCUCCUCACAGCAAACAUAAAAGCAGCCUAUAAACAA